rnacentral:rRNA from 1 species
UACAGAGGUCUCAAGCGUUUGUUCGGAUUCAUUGGGCGUAAAGGGUGCGUAGGUGGCGCCAUAAGUCAGGUGUGAAAUCUCGGGGCUCAACCCCGAAACUGCACUUGAUACUGUGGUGCUCGAGUACUGGAGAGGAGAUUGGAAUUUACGGUGUAGCAGUGAAAUGCGUAGAUAUCGUAAGGAAGACCAGUGGCGAAGGCGAAUCUCUGGACAGUUACUGACACUGAGGCACGAAGGCCAGGGGAGCAAACGGG